CUGGCCGUUCGGCGGCCUGUCGGUACGCCCGAAUCCGACCAAAGAGGCAGGUCUCGGGGCGUGACAAAAUGAAAGAGGGUGUGUGUGUUUAUUUAAAUAAAAAAAAAUGUUUAGUGUGGAUAAAGUUGAAAUAUAAAUAUUGUUUAAGAGUAUUCUUAGUCAUAUUCCAUAUGCUUAUUAUAAUGUACCAGAUUUUAAUAUAAAAAUUAAGUGUAAAUAAAAAUAGUGGAAGAUACUAUUUUUAUUGGACUUAAAGAAGUAAAAUAUAGGUCGGAAACGACUUGUGCUGAAAUCGGAAUGAAAACGGAAGAUUUAAAAUUUUCUGUAAGGAACGGAGCUGAUAUUUUAGCAAAAAAUUCACAGUGUCAGAAAAUUAUGAAAAUCUGGAAAUAUGUCGGGAUUAUUUUUAUAAGGCUAGAUUUAAAGUUUCAUGUCAUUCUGAUACCCAGAAAGUAAAAAAUAAAAUCCGACUGCUAUCUGCUAGAGAUUACAGUUCGGCAGAGCUUUCGGUGACCAAAAAUGGUCAAAACUGAGAAGUUAGAUAUCAUUCACUUUAUUAGCUUAAACCGAGCCUAACUGUCAAAUUUG
rnacentral:lncRNA from 1 species